rnacentral:rRNA from 1 species
CCUACGGGAGGAGCAGUGGGGGAUAUUGCACAAUGGGGGGAACCCUGAUGCAGCGACGCCGCGUGGGUGAAGGAGUAUUUCGGUAUGUAAAGCCCUAUCGGCAGGGAAGAAUUUAGACGGUACCUGACUAAGAAGCCCCGGCUAACUACGUGCCAGCAGCCGCGGUAAUACGUAGGGGGCAAGCGUUAUCCGGAUUCACUGGGUGUAAAGGGAGCGUAGACGGCCAGGCAAGCCUGGAGUGAAAGCCCGGGGCCCAACCCCGGGACUGCUCUGGGAACUGUCCGGCUGGAGUGCGGGAGGGGCAGGCGGAAGUCCUGGUGUAGCGGUGAAAUGCGGAGAUAGCAGGAGGAACACCGGCGGCGAAGGCGGCCUGCUGGACCGCGACUGACGUUGAGGCUCGAAAGCGUGGGGAGCGAACAGGAUUAGAUACCCUUGUAGUC